UAAUAAAUCAUGAAAAUCGAAUACAUAAGAAAAUGAGAACAUUUUUGGAUGACUGUAGCUAGUUGACGAGCUUAUAAACUUUGUGUUGUGUGUUGGCAAGUUAGGAGCUCUUCAACACUCCCUGUGUCAGCUUAGAACAAAAAAAAUACAAAGUCAGAGAAUAUGUGGUCAAUAUUUUCCCGGGAUCCAACCAGUUCCUUCCCUUAUGAGUUAGGAGAAGAAGUUAGAUGUGAAGAUAACCGGACAGUGUGGAAACUCCAUCGAGGCAAGAAAAAGCAAAAUGGAGAAGAAGUAAGUCUCUUCUUGUGUGAUAUAAAAGAUGGAAAUUCAGCAUAUUUGGACGUGGCGAAGGCUGCCGUUAAGAAACUUAAAACUCUCCGCCACCCUUGCAUCCUUACGUAUAUUGAUAGUUUAGAGAGUGACAAGUUGGUGUACCUGGUAACUGAGUCUGUAACUCCUUUAUUAACAUGGCUGAGUGAUGACUCCCUCUCUCCGGCACAUCGCACAACUGCUGUGUCCUGGGGACUGCUUCAGGUCACUAAAGGACUAAGUUUCUUAAACAAUGAUGGAAAUUUGAUCCACUACAAUGUAUGUGCAAGUAGUGUGUUUGUUACACGUGGUGGAGAAUGGAAGUUAGGGGGUGUGGAGUACUCCAGCAGUGAUUCAUCCACAUUCCCUGUCAAAAUUAUCACAAAAUUAGACACCUAUAAUCCACCCGAAAAAAAUGACCCAUCAAAAAUGCGCAAAUCAAGUAAAUGGGCAGCAGACGUGUGGGGACUUGGAUGUCUGAUCUGGGAAGUAUUUAAUGGGUAUCUCGACCAGUCUAUGUCUCUCAGAAAUACCACUAAGAUCCCCAAGUCAUUAGUGUCAACAUACACACGACUGGUUGGGGCAAACCCCACUGCCCGACCAAAUCCACAAGUUGUAGUGAAUAAUCUUCGUCAACAAGGAAAUUUCUUCAAUAAUGAUCUUAUCGAAACUCUCUUGUUUUUGGAAGAAAUUCAAAUCAAGGAUGCUAGUGAGAAGCACAGAUUCUUCUCAGAUUUAACACCAAAGCUUGACAACAUCCCUGACUAUGUGGCCAAGAACAAGGUUUUGCCCGCUCUUUUGGCUGCUCACGAGUUCUCCAAUGUGGGAUCUGUUGUACUUAAUCCCCUCUUUAAGAUAGGCAAGUUGCUCGGAGAUUCGGAGUAUCAGCAGUAUAUUCUCCCAUGUGUUGUGAAGCUCUUCUCCUCAAGUGAUCGUGCUACUCGACUCAAACUCUUACAGCAGAUGGACUCACUUGUAGAGCACAUGAACCAGUCAACAGUUAAUGACCAAGUCUUUCCUCAAUUAGCUACGGGAUUCUUAGACACCAACCCCACCAUACGGGAACACACAGUUAAGUCAAUAUUGUUUCUCGCACCAAAGCUCAACUAUAAUAAUCUUAACGUGGAAGUUUUGAAGCACUUUGCCCGUCUCCAGUCAAAGGAUGAUCAAGGAGGGAUCCGAACCAACACCACUGUUUGCCUUGGAAAGAUAGCAAACUACCUUCACCCAGAUGUGAGACAAAAAUGUUUAACCUCAGCAUUUACCCGAGCCAUGAGAGAUCCAUUUCCUCCAGCACGCACAGCUGGUGUAAUGGCCAUAGCAGCUACACAGCAGUAUUACCCAUUACAGGAAGUUGUUUCAAAACUCCUCCCAAAUCUUUGCCAAAUAACAUUGGACCCAGAAAAGUCUGUUCGAGACUCUGUUUUCCGUGUCGUAAAAGGAUUCCUCAGCAAAUUAGAAAAGGUUUCAGAUGACCCAUCACUGAAAGAACAAUUGGAGACUGAAGUGAGGAGCUUCAAUUCAGGUAAUUCACAGCCUACAACUUGGGCCGGCUGGGCUGUAGGGGCUAUCACAUCAAAAUUCUAUAAGAGUUCUUUAAGUGCAAAUACUCAGCAACAACCUCAGAAACAACAAAAGCCAUCCACCUCAUCCUCUGGUACCAUUACGCCCUCCACUAAGUCCAGUAGCUUAGCUUCCACACCUUCUCAGGACCAUAGCCGAUCCACUAGCAGAACUGCAACCAAACCAGCCAAUGACAAUGAUGAAUCAGAAUAUGAAGACUGGGAGAAUUCAAAGUGGAAACCUGUGGGGAACUUACCAGAGAUAAAAAAGAAUGUUUCAGAGCCUGUUAGUGUAUCUUCUGCCUUGGCAGCUGCUGAUGAUGAUCUGGAUGGUGAAGAUGGGUGGGGAGAAGAUGAAGAGUGGGGCAGCUUAGAGGAUGGGCUUGGUGGGGGUGUUGAAGACAACAAACUUGAACUUGCAGCUAACACAAGUAGUAAACCACCAUGGUCUGGCAGCUUGGGAUCCACAGCUCCAGAAGACAGUGAUGAUUUUUUCAAUUCUGUUAUUAGUAAUCAGGGUACAUCAAAAGCAGUAAGCCGCACCUCCUCACAAGUAGUGUCUCCCAGCAAGAGUUCAGUUGGGGGCUGGGAUGAGUGGGAUGACCAGCAAUCUUCAGAGGUUACCAUUAGUAGUAGCAAAGCAGAUGAGCAGCGUAGACAACGGGAAGAAAAAAAGCUACAAAGGCAGAAAGACAUUGAGGCAAAACGAGCAGCUCGUGCUGGCCCUAUGAAACUAGGAGCUAAGAAACUCUGAAAAACAGUUGGAAUAAAUUAUCUCCAGCCAGUUGUUCUGCUUGAUAUAAUGUUGGCAGCCCUCGGCGGAAAGAGCCUACAUUUGAAAAUCCGAGUUGGCAACUCAGGAAAGAGGGGCUAUACAGAGCGGCAAUUGGCCAGAGAAGAGCAGUUCACGAGGAGACUUUGUGGGGGUAGGUGCUGCCGGUCGUCUCUUUGACCAGAAGGCCGGUGUUCUUGAAAUAUAUGAUGAUGGAUCCAAUUGGCUGUUACUGUUGUGUUAAAGACCAGUUUGCUGCAUCAGUGGUCGUCAGCGUGGGUAGUGCAGCACCACCGUACUUAUUGAGGAUGAUGACUUGAAGAUGGAGGAUCCACUCAGUUUUCUCCUGGUGAAAUGACCCUUACUGCACUGCACUGCACCAGAAACACCAGUCCAGAUGUUAUUCUGAACAUUGUGGUGGCUGCCCCUGGGCUGCCCCUGUGCUGCCCCUG
rnacentral:misc_RNA from 1 species